rnacentral:tRNA from 1 species
GGGGGUGUAGUUCAGUGGCAGAGAACUUGUCUAGCACAUGUGAGAUCCUGGGUUUAAUUCCCAGCACCACCU